GGCGAAGCUGCGUUCCCCUCCCUCGGCGUGCUGGAGCUGUCAUCCGAUGUUCGUCUCUGGAGCAAGAUCAGAGAGCUUCCCUGCCUCUCUUGCUUUCCUCCUAGAAGCACCCUUGCGGGCAGCCGCGCAGCUCCGAACUCGAGAAGAAAGACUGAAAUGGAUCCAUAAAAAGAGGAGCCCAUGACUGUAGCAAAGAACAAACAGCUGAUAAGAGAUGAAAAUGAGAAGAAGAGAUCAUUUUGUACAUUUUACAAGGAGGGGAUAAAUUACCUUGAAGUUUAGAAGUCACUUCCUUAGAU